GGAACUAUGUGGUUUUAAUUCGACGAUAAGCGAAAACCUCACCAAGGUUUGACAUCCCGAUCGUUACGGUAUAGAAAUUAUACUGGUCAGCUAGGCUGGAUCGGUGACAGGUGUUGCAUGGUCGUCGUCAGCUCGUGUCGUGAGAUGUCGGGUUAAGUCCUUUAACGAGCGCAACCCUCAUUGUAUGUUAUUUUCAUGCGAGACUGCCCUGGUUAACAGGGAGGAAGGUGGGGAUGACGUCAGAUCAGCAUGGCCCUUACGCCUUGGGCUACACACGUGUUACAAUGGCUAGUACAAUGGGUUGCAAUACCGUAAGGUGGAGCUAAUCCCCAAACUAGUCCCAGUUCGGAUAGAGGGCUGAAACUCGCCCUCUUGAAGUUGGAAUCGCUAGUAACCGUAAAUCAGCACGUUACGGUGAAUACGUUCCCGGGUCUU
rnacentral:rRNA from 1 species